rnacentral:misc_RNA from 1 species
GAAAUGCGAUAAUUAAUGUGAAUUGCAGAAUUCAGUGAAUCAUCGAGCCUUUGAACGCACAUUGCGCCCCCUGGUAUUCCGGGGGGCAUGCCUGUCCGAGCGUCAUUGCUGCCCUCAAGCACGGCUUGUGUGUUGGGCUUCCGUCCCUGGCAACGGGGACGGGCCCAAAAGGCAGUGGCGGCACCAUGUCUGGUCCUCGAGCGUAUGGGGCUUUGUCACCCGCUCCCGUAGGUCCAGCUGGCAGCUAGCCUCGCAACCAAUCUUUUUAACCAGGUUGACCUCGGAUCAGGUAGGGAUACCCGCUGAACUUAAGC